rnacentral:rRNA from 1 species
UAAAAAAUCGGCAUCGCACGGGUCCCCGAAAGGGGGUCCUCGGGGCGCGUUGACCCAACCGUGUCUACCUUAACAACAGUUGCCUCGGCGGACCGUACCCGUCAGGGUCGACCCGAGCCGCGUGCCCCCCAGGGGGUUCGUCCGGCCGGGCCCGCGUCCGCCGCAGGGACCUCAAACCCCAACCUAUAUGGACGUCUGAGUGACUAUCUAAUAGUUUAAAACUUUCAACAACGGAUCUCUUGGUUCCGGCAUCGAUGAAGAACGCAGCGAAAUGCGAUAACUAAUGUGAAUUGCAGAAUUCCGUGAAUCAUCGAGUCUUUGAACGCACAUUGCGCCCUCUGGUAUUCCGGGGGGCAUGCCUGUCCGAGCGUCAUUGCAACCCUCAAGCCCGGCUUGUGUGAUGGGCGGCCGUCCACCCCCUCGUGGGGGGGACGCCCCCUAAAUGCAGUGGCGGCGUCGUGUUUCCGAAGCCCCGGUCGAUGGGAAUCCAAAGGCUGGAAGGCGGCGGCCGGCGUCCACCUCAGCGGUGCACCCACGCGGUACAUCUUUCUAGGUUGACCUCGGAUCAGGUAGGGAUACCCGCUGAACUUAAGCAUAUCAAUAAGCGGAGGA